GACGAACGCCGGCGGCGUGCUUAACACAUGCAAGUCGAACGGAAAGGCCUGCUUUCCCUUGUGGAUUGCGGGUACUCGAGUGGCGAACGGGUGAGUAACACGUGAGUGAUCUGCCCCCAACUUGGGUAUAAGCCUGGGAAACUGGGUCUAAUUCCCGAUAGGACUGCAGGGUGGUGCCUGUGGUGGAAAACGAUUUUCUAGUGGUUGGGGAUGAGCUCGCGGCCUAUCAGCUUGUUGGUGGGGUAAUGGCCUACCAAGGCGGCGACGGGUAGCCGGCCUGAGAGGGUGGACGGCCACAUUGGGACUGAGAUACGGCCCAGACUCCUACGGGAGGCAGCAGUGGGGAAUAUUGCACAAUGGGCGGAAGCCUGAUGCAGCGACGCCGCGUGGGGGAUGACGGCCUUCGGGUUGUAAACUCCUUUCGACCGCGAGGAAGCCACCUGGUUGGAAGGGUGGUGACGGUAGUGGUAGAAGAAGCACCGGCUAACUACGU
rnacentral:rRNA from 1 species